rnacentral:tRNA from 1 species
GAGGCAGUAGCUCAAUCGGUUAGAGCGUCAGAUUGUGGUUCUGAAGGUCGUGGGUUCGAUUCCCAUCUGCCUCCCCU